rnacentral:misc_RNA from 1 species
AACGCACAUUGCGCCCCUUGGUAUUCCGAGGGGCAUGCCUGUUCGAGCGUCAUUAUCACCCCUCAAGCCUAGCUUGGUGUUGGGGCUCGCCCGUGUGGGUGGCCCUUAAAAUCAGUGGCGGUGCCCUUAGGCUCUAAGCGUAGUAAUACUCCUCGCUCCAGAGUCCUAACGGUCCCUAGCCAAAACCCCCCAUUUUUCAUGAUUGACCUCGGAUCAGGUAGGGUUACCCGCUGAACUUAA